rnacentral:rRNA from 1 species
GAUGAACGCUGGCGGCGUGCCUAAUACAUGCAAGUCGAGCGAACAGACGAGGAGCUUGCUCCUCUGACGUUAGCGGCGGACGGGUGAGUAACACGUGGAUAACCUACCUAUAAGACUUGGAUAACUUCGGGAAACCGGAGCUAAUACCGGAUAAUAUAUUGAACCGCAUGGUUCAAUAGUGAAAGACGGUUUUGCUGUCACUUAUAGAUGGAUCCGCGCCGCAUUAGCUAGUUGGUAAGGUAACGGCUUACCAAGGCAACGAUGCGUAGCCGACCUGAGAGGGUGAUCGGCCACACUGGAACUGAGACACGGUCCAGACUCCUACGGGAGGCAGCAGUAGGGAAUCUUCCGCAAUGGGCGAAAGCCUGACGGAGCAACGCCGCGUGAGUGAUGAAGGUCUUCGGAUCGUAAAACGCUGUUAUUAGGGAAGAACAAAUGUGUAAGUAACUAUGCACGUCUUGACGGUACCUAAUCAGAAAGCCACGGCUAACUACGUG